AAUAAGAUCACAGUUUAUAUAAGUUUUUAAUACACCUGGAAAUACCACAACAAACGAAUCUAUUCACGCGUCGAAUCAUGAUUUUGUUAACAUUCAAAACGCACACACAAAUAAAAACAGGCCUCAGAUUUUAAAUGUAACAUUAAUUAAAAAUCCGAGAUAUCCAAUUAUGAGUGAGUGAAUUAAUUGAGUUUAGUUAUUUAGCUUAGAAAGAAUUUCUUUUAUUUUUGUUAUUAUUGGCAGUAAUCAGAUAAAGCUGUUUUUUUAUCUUAUUCACCUGAUAUCUUACUCUUGCUCAAAGAUUAUUUUGAAAAUGUUGAUUAAAUAAAAUUGUAUUAUUGCA